CCCGCACAAGCAGCGGAGCGUGUGGUUUAAUUCGAUGCUACACGAAGAACCUUACCAGGGCUUGACAUGCAUGUGGUAGCGAAGCGAAAGCGGAGCGACCCUUCGGGGAGCAUGCACAGGUGCUGCAUGGCUGUCGUCAGCUCGUGUCGUGAGAUGUUCGGUUAAGUCCGCUAACGAGCGCAACCCUCGCCGUGUGUUAUAUGUGUCACGCGGGACUGCCAGUCUUAAGCUGGAGGAAGGUGGGGAUGACGUCAAGUCAGCAUGGCCUUUAUGUCCUGGGCUACACACACGCUACAAUGGCCAGUACAAUGGGUAGCGAAGCCGCGAGGCGAAGCCAAUCCUCCAAAGCUGGUCUCAGUUCAGAUUGCAGGCUGCAACCCGCCUGCAUGAAGAUGGAGUUGCUAGUAACCGCAGGUCAGCUAUACUGCGGUGAAUACGUUCCCGGGCCUU
rnacentral:rRNA from 1 species